AAACGACUCUCGGCAACGGAUAUCUCGGCUCUCGCAUCGAUGAAGAACGUAGCGAAAUGCGAUACUUGGUGUGAAUUGCAGAAUCCCGUGAACCAUCGAGUCUUUGAACGCAAGUUGCGCCCCAAGCCUCCGGGCCGAGGGCACGUCUGCCUGGGUGUCACA
rnacentral:rRNA from 1 species